GACGAACCGUGCGAACGUUGUUCGGAUUCACUGGGCUUAAAGGGCGCGUAGGCGGGCCGCCAAGUCCGCGGUGAAAUCCCCCGGCUCAACCGGGGAACUGCCGCGGAUACUGGAGGUCUCGAGGGGGGUAGGGGCAUGCGGAACUACGGGUGGAGCGGUGAAAUGCGUUGAUAUCCGUAGGAACUCCGGUGGCGAAGGCGGCGUGCUGGACCCCUUCUGACGCUGAGGCGCGAAAGCCAGGGGAGCGAACGGG
rnacentral:rRNA from 1 species